UCCCUGGUGGUCUAGUGGUUAGGACUUGGCACUUUCACGGCUGUGGCCCAGGUUCAAUCCCUGGUCAGGGAA